rnacentral:rRNA from 1 species
AGAGUUUGAUCCUGGCUCAGAUUGAACGCUGGCGGCAUGCCUUACACAUGCAAGUCGAACGGCAGCACGGACUUCGGUCUGGUGGCGAGUGGCGAACGGGUGAGUAAAGCAUCGGAACGUGCCCGAUCGUGGGGGAUAACGCAGCGAAAGCUGCGCUAAUACCGCAUAAGAUCUACGGAUGAAAGCGGGGGACUCGCAAGAGCCUCGCGCGAACGGAGCGGCCGAUGUCAGAUUAGGUAGUUGGUGGGGUAAAGGCCCACCAAGCCGACGAUCUGUAGCUGGUCUGAGAGGACGACCAGCCACACUGGGACUGAGACACGGCCCAGACUCCUACGGGAGGCAGCAGUGGGGAAUUUUGGACAAUGGGCGCAAGCCUGAUCCAGCCAUGCCGCGUGCAGGAAGAAGGCCUUCGGNUUGUAAACUGCUUUUGUACGGA